UAUUAAAUAAAGGAAUGGAGAAACGCCCCACCCAACUGACUGUCGACCCAUCACAUUCACGUCGUCAUGCUAAAUCACGUAGAGUAAGAGUCGAGAAAGUUGCCUAUUUUCCUCAAAAGUACGUAAUGUCAUGAUUCCAAAGCUAUAUGAUAUUACAGCGAACAAGUUAAUUAUCUCACACCUUGGAAAUGGUUUGCAACGUUGUACUUCUUGUUUCUCGAAAUUCAUGCUAAUGUUUGGCUUUUGAGCUAGGGCUCAAUUGACUCCCAUUCCCUACUUGAAGGAGAGCUCUCAUUGACAGGGAAUGCAAUGCACCGCGCGGCUCAUGGACGAUUUACGGGCAAUGUUCACAAUGGGCGUUAAUACGAUUCGAAUGGAGUACCCCAUCUCCUCAAAAGUAUCUCUGUGGGAAAGCAACGUUGCUCUGGGUAGAGACGCCGUUUAUAGCUCAGUGGCAGAAACGAACUGGAAGUUGAACUCGGUGCUUUUGGAAUGCAGGUGUCCCUAGACCUGGUGGUGCCAAGAUUAAAUUUAGCCCAUGCCCAAUGUCCUGUCGACACAUUGUGUAAUGCCACAUGCCUCCUAGACCUGUCAAUCACUAUUAUAGACUGUUUAUGGUCUCACUUGGGCUUUACGUUCCAUGAGGGAAGGGACUAAACAGGCAAAAGGAAGAAGACUGGAGGUACAUAUUCUGUGGGAAUAAGAUGGCUGCUGCUACAGCGGUGAUGCAAACGAUUUUGUGCUGUGACCUAUUUCCUGCUUCUGGCUGAGAGCUGUCCACAGUAGCAUGUGUACCAAAUGGCACUCUAUUCCCUAUAUAAUGCACUACCUUUUACCAGGGCCCAUAGGACUAUGUAGGRAAUAGGGUGCCAUUUGGGACUCAGCCGAUGUGGCUCUAGUUAUGCAGAAACACACUGUCAAGUUUGAGGGUAAUUCUGCUGAGUAUGCUAUGGGAUAAAGGUAUGUCCCCUUUACUUGGGCCUCAUUGCACAGAGUGGCGUGUAAGGCCUCCACAAGGUCUCUCCAUCUCUUUCUGUCCCCCUUAGCUUUAACUGGGGUUAACUGUGCACCAUGUCAACAGCUUUAAACCCCUCAACAGCUUAAUAAAAAUGCCUCAACAGCUUCAAA